AGAAAAAAAAAAAAAAGGACCAAAAAUCGAAUAUUUGUUUUUAUUUUUCUCCUCCUCUUUGAUGUUUCAUUUUUCUUUCUCAU
rnacentral:ribozyme from 16 species